GAUUUUUUUUUUUGCCAGUCAACGGCUUAAAUGAACCACUGGUGCUAACAGCCAUCAGCACCAACCAUCAGCAGACACUGCGGCUCCUCCAGGACUGGGGUUUGACACCUGUGAGCUAAAGUCUCCUUCAGCGUCUCUGUAUGUGUACAAACUGCUGUGGAUUAAAGGCUGCAAACCAAAGGAAAUAUUUAUGGGAUCCUGGCUGAGGACUGAGCCUAAUCAGGAAUCAAAUAUUCUUUUAAAAAUACAAAAAAUCAAAAUUGUGCGGAAGGGAACGAAAAAUUCUGCGUCUACAUUCUGUGACAGACUGUUUAUUCCCAUUACUCCCUCUUCCCCUGCCACCUCACCUCCCCACACAUCCCCAACAGAUUGAGCAAAUUGGCGACCUGAGAGAAUCACCUAAAGCAGGGGUGUCAAGCUGAAUACUCAAAGGGCUGCAGUGUCUACAGGUUUUUGUGGUUUCCUUUCCAUCAGCUGCCAAUUCAGGCCUUGAGAACAAGGUGUGUGGAUUUUUAUUUUGCCAAUCAACGGCUUAAAUGAACCACUGGUGCUAACAGCCAUCAGCACCAACCAUCAGCAGACACUGCGGCUCCUCCAGGACUGGGGUUUGACACCUGUGAGCUAAAGUCUCCUUCAGCGUCUCUGUAUGUGUACAAACUGCUGUGGAUUAAAGGCUGCAAACCAAAGGAAAUAUUUAUGGGAUCCUGGCUGAGGACUGAGCUUAAUCAGGAAUCAAAUUUCUGUUUUUUAAAUACAAAAAAUCAAAAUUGUGCGGAAGGGAAAGUAAAAUUCUGCGUCUACAUUCUGUGACAGACUGUUUAUUCCCAUUACUGUGAGUAUAAAUUAAUUGUAAGCAUAAUUGGUAUUUGAGUUGUAGGGACGUUUUAGAUUAAUUUUCAACUUCAGUUAUUAUUAGAAAGAAGGGAGUCUAUGUAGUUACAGGACUGCACUGGCAGGAGACAUUGAACCUCAUAAAAUUUUGUUCCAUUUUAAAUCUUUAAAAUCUUGAAUUUCAUACACAAAAUACACUCUGCAUAUUACAUUAUGGUGUUUUUUUUUACAUGUACAUGGGUUGCUUUCUGCAUUCUACUCCACUAUGUAACUGCAAAUA